rnacentral:rRNA from 1 species
UACGUAGGGGGCUAGCGUUGUCCGGAAUCAUUGGGCGUAAAGAGCGUGUAGGCGGUCCGGUAAGUCCGCUGUGAAAGUCGGGGGCUCAACCCUCGAAUGCCGGUGGAUACUGUCGGGCUAGAGUGCGGAAGAGGCGAGUGGAAUUCCUGGUGUAGCGGUGAAAUGCGCAGAUAUCAGGAGGAACACCUAUUGCGAAGGCAGCUCGCUGGGACGUAACUGACGCUGAGAACGCGAAAGCGUGGGGAGCAAACAGG